GAUCAUUAACGCGCAGGCCGGAGGCUGGCCCCCCACGAUAGGGCCAAACGUCCGUCAGGGGUGAGCAGAUGUGCGCCGGCCGUACCGCCCCAUUCUUGUCUACCUUACUCGGUUGCCUCGGCGGGCCGCGCUCUCCCAGGAGAGCCGUUCGGCGAGCCUCUCUUUAGUGGCUAAACGCUGGACCGCGCCCGCCGGAGGACAGACGCAAAAAAAUUCUUUCAGAAGAGCUGUCAGUCUGAGCGUUAGCAAGCAAAAAUCAGUUAAAACUUUCAACAACGGAUCUCUUGGUUCCGGCAUCGAUGAAGAACGCAGCGAAAUGCGAUAAGUAAUGUGAAUUGCAGAAUUCCGUGAAUCAUCGAAUCUUUGAACGCACAUUGCGCCCCCUGGCAUUCCGGGGGGCAUGCCUGUUCGAGCGUCAUUUCAGCCCCUCAAGCCCGGCUUGUGUGAUGGACGACCGUCCGGCGCCCCCGUCUUUGGGGGUGCGGGACGCGCCCGAAAAGCAGUGGCCAGGCCGCGAUUCCGGCUUCCUAGGCGAAUGGGCAACAAACCAGCGCCUCCAGGACCGGCCGCCCUGGCCUCAAAAUCUGUUUUAUACUUAUCAGGUUGAC
rnacentral:misc_RNA from 1 species